rnacentral:rRNA from 1 species
GUAGGGUGCAAGCGUUAAUCGGAAUUACUGGGCGUAAAGCGUGCGCAGGCGGUUUUGUAAGAUAGAUGUGAAAUCCCCGGGCUCAACCUGGGAAUUGCAUAUAUGACUGCAAGACUUGAGUUUGUCAGAGGAGGGUGGAAUUCCAAGUGUAGCAGUGAAAUGCGUAGAUAUUUGGAAGAACACCGAUGGCGAAGGCAGCCCUCUGGGACAUGACUGACGCUCAUGCACGAAAGCGUGGGGAGCAAACAGGAUUAGAUACCCUGGUAGUCCACGCCCUAAACGAUGUCUACUAGUUGUUGGGUGAGCAAUCUCUUGGUAACGCAGCUAACGCGUGAAGUAGACCGCCUGGGGAGUACGGUCGCAAGAUUAAAACUCAAA